CCGAAUGCCAAAGACUUAUCCUUGGGAGUCAGACUGCGAGUGAUAAGAUCCGUAGUCGAAAGGGAAACAGCCCAGACCGCCAGCUAAGGUCCCAAAGUAUACGUUAAGUGGAAAAGGAUGUGGAGUUGCUUAGACAACCAGGAUGUUGGCUUAGAAGCAGCCACCAUUGAAAGAGUGCGUAAUAGCUCACUGGUCGAGUGACUCUGCGCCGAAAAUGUCCCGGGGCUAAACGUAUCACCGAAGCUGCGGACUGUUCUUGCGAACAGUGGUAGGAGAGCGUUCUAAGGGCUGUGAAGCGAGACCGGAAGGACUCGUGGAGCGCUUAGAAGUGAGAAUGCCGGUAUGAGUAGCGAAAGAGGGGUGAGAAUCCCCUCCACCGAAUGCCUAAGGUUUCCUGAGGAAGGCUCGUCCGCUCAGGGUUAGUCGGGACCUAAGCCGAGGCCGAAAGGCGUAGGCGAUGGACAACAGGUUGAUAUUCCUGUACCACCUCCUCACCAUUUGAGCAAUGGGGGGACGCAGGAGGAUAGGGUAAGCGCGGUAUUGGAUAUCCGCGUCCAAGCAGUUAGGCUGGGAAAUAGGCAAAUCCGUUUCCCAUAAGGCUGAGCUGUGAUGGCGAGCGAAAUAUAGUAGCGAAGUUCCUGAUUCCACACUGCCAAGAAAAGCCUCUAGCGAGGUGAGAGGUGCCCGUACCGCAAACCGACACAGGUAGGCGAGGAGAGAAUCCUAAGGUGAUCGAGAGAACUCUCGUUAAGGAACUCGGCAAAAUGACCCCGUAACUUCGGGAGAAGGGGUGCUCUGUUAGGGUGCAAGCCCGAGAGAGCCGCAGUGAAUAGGCCCAGGCGACUGUUUAGCAAAAACACAGGUCUCUGCGAAGCCGUAAGGCGAAGUAUAGGGGCUGACGCCU
rnacentral:rRNA from 1 species